rnacentral:rRNA from 1 species
AGACGUCUACAUUAGAUACCCCUGUAGUCCCAGCCGUAAACUAUGCGCGUUAGGUGUAUCGGUGACCACGAGUUACCGAGGUGCCGAAGGGAAACCGUGAAACGUGCCGCCUGGGAAGUACGGUCGCAAGGCUGAAACUUAAGGAAUUGGCGGGGAGCACCACAACAGGUGGAGCCUGCGGUUUAAUUGGACUCAACGCCGGGAAGCUCACCGGAUAGGACAGCAGAAUGAUUGCCGGGCUGAAGACCCUGCAUGACUAGCUG